AGGGCAAGUCUGGUGCCAGCAGCCGCGGUAACACCAGCUCCAAUAGCGUAUAUUAAAGUUGUUGCGGUUAAAAAGCUCGUAGUUGAAUCUGUGUCCCACACUGUCGGUUCACCGCUCGCGGUGUUCAACUGGCAUGUCUGUGGGACGUCCUACCGGUGGGCGCAGCCCGUCAAAAGGCGGCCCAACUCAAAAUCCUACCACGGUGCUCUUCACCGAGUGUCGAGGUGGGCCGGUACGUUUACUUUGAACAAAUUAGAGUGCUUAAAGCAGGCUCAUUCGCCUGAAUAUUCUGUGCAUGGAAUAAUAGAAUAGGACCUCGGUUCUAUUUUGUUGGUUUUCGGAACUCCGAGGUAAUGAUUAAUAGGGACAACUGGGGGCAUUCGUAUUGCGACGUUAGAGGUGAAAUUCUUGGAUCGUCGCAAGACGGACAGAAGCGAAAGAAAUGUGUUUUCAUCAAUCAAGAACGAAAGUUAGAGGUUCGAAGGCGAUCAGAUACCGCCCUAGUUCUAACCAUAAACUAUGCCAGCUAGCGAUCCGCCGAAGUUCCUCCGAUGACUCGGCGGGCAGCUUCCGGGAAACCAAAGCUUUUGGGUUCCGGGGGAAGUAUGGUUGCAAAGCUGAAACUUAAAGGAAUUGACGGAAGGGCACCACCAGGAGUGGAGCCUGCGGCUUAAU
rnacentral:rRNA from 1 species